AAUUUGCUGAGAUUGAAAACUUUUUGUCUGUCAGUAAGAAAAUAAUCUCAAACAGUAAUGCCUAUGAAUUUACCAACAAUGUUGCAAAUUACAUACAACACAGUGAGUCAAGUUCUGGUGAUUGGUUCUGGCCGCUUGUGAAAACUGUGACAAUCAAGAUUCCAGACUGUCAUGAACUCCUGGAGCACAUUGUGCUUCUUGAUAUUCCUGGGAGUGGAGACUGCAGUAGGACUAGAGAUGACCUGUGGAAAUCUAAACUGAGAGAGUGCUCUUCUGUGUGGAUUGUAAGUGAUAUCAAGCGAGCAAUCACUGACAGAGACCCCUGGGGAAUAUUAA